GUCCUCAACUCCCAGUUCUUCUACGAUGCCUCCAUGUGCCCUGCCUUGAAGCAGGCCCAGGACCAGUGGCUGGACCAGCAGCUGAGCAUCGCUGGGCAGCAGAGGUGCCAGCACGCCGUCGUCUUCCAGCACAUCCCGCUGUUCCUCCAGAGCAUCGAUGAGGAGGAUGACUACUUCAACCUCACCAAGUCCGUUCGGAAGGAGAUGGCAGACAAGUUCUCCAAAGCAGGUGUCAAAGCUGUGUUCUCAGGUCACUACCACAGGAAUGCCGGGGGCACCUACCAGGACCUGGACAUGGUGGUGUCAUCUGCCAUCGGAUGCCAGUUGGGCAAAGACACCCACGGGCUCCGAGUCGUGGUGGUCACUGCUGAGAAAAUUGUCCAUCGAUACUACAGUUUAGAUGAGCUGAGUGAGAAAGGAAUAGAAGACGAUCUGAUGGAUUUGAUGAAGAAAAAAUGAUUGCUGGUUAUGAUCUAUUCACUUUUCACUUCUACUAUUUUUUCAUUCUGUCAGAAACAGCAGCUGCACACAACCCCUUAUUGGAAAAAAAACUAUACCAGGCAGAUUUUUGAAUUUAUGUCCUUUUGCAUAAAUCAGAGAGCUGGGUCCUGUCCUAAAUGAUAUUCAAAAUAGAACUGCCUUCCCUUUAAAAAAGAGAGUGCAGGAGCCUGGAAAUAAAAGGAUAACUGACAUGAAAAA